CAGUUCAUGGAAGAAACUAAAUGCAUGACUGUUGAUACUAUGAUGUCUUCUUUGAAUGUUGGAGGAUGCCGUUAAUCUAAUUUGGCAGUUUUUGUGAGUACGGUGAAAGCCGCCUGAACUUACUGGUGAAAAGAUGGCAUACAUGUUCACUCUCUUUGAUUUUGAUUUUGAUUUUGAUAGGAUGAAUCAUUAGAAGACUACCGGCAGUUUUAUGAUUUAUUGAUGACUUAUCCUAUUUAUGUGCAUGUUUUGGCUUACCAGGACAUUUUCACC
rnacentral:misc_RNA from 1 species